rnacentral:rRNA from 1 species
AACGUAGGUUCCGAGCGUUAUCCGGAUUUACUGGGCGUAAAGCGCGUUCAGGCGGUUUGGCAAGUCGGGCAUGAAAUCUCUCGGCUCAACCGGGAGAGGUUGUCCGAUACUGCUGGACUUGAGGGCAGUAGAGGGUGGUGGAAUUCCGGGUGUAGUGGUGAAAUGCGUAGAUAUCCGGAGGAACACCAGUGGCGAAGGCAAUCCCCUGGGCCUGCACUGACGCUCAUGCACGAAAGCGUGGGGAGCAAACAGG